CACGUCCAGACGAUGCGAUUUUUCGUGCAACUUGCGCUGUGCGCUGCGCGCAUGCAAUAGCGCAUGGCAAGCGCAAGCAGCCUGUGCGUCGAGCGCAUGCGCGUUUACCUGGAAAUCAGUAGCGCGUCUGGUAGCGCACGUGUUCCCGUUGUCAGUGGGUAUCAUCGGCCAUUUCCGUGCGCUACGCCGUGUUUGUCUACACAAGUUUGCAUGUGUUUGUGGUUGACGAGAGUUGUCAGAGUUCAGUUGAUUGAUACUGUGACUGUGCAUAGUGUAUAACAUAAUGUCAGAUAGCCAGGAAAGCACAUUGCAGUUCAUAGAAGACUACCGUAAACAUGAACUCCUGUGGAACACUAGCUUAAAAGAAUACAAAAACAAACAACUUCGAAGGGAUGCCAUCAUUGAACUAGGACGAAAGUAUGGACUAAAUGAAAAAGCUGUGAAAAAUAAGAUCAAAAGCUUACGUUGUUAUUUUAGCAAGGAGCAUGAUAAAGUCCGUAGUGCAAAAUGUGGCAUGUCAGCGAAUGCAAAGGAAGUGCCGUCAUGGUUCGCAUACAAAUCACUGUUGUUUUUGAAAGACACGGCCGUACCAUUUCAGACUGUGGACAGCAUUGAUGACAGCACCAACAAUGAUGACAACAAUGAGAUGAAUGUUCCUGAAGUAAACCAAGACACGCAUGCAGAGGACGAUGUGCUUCAUACUUCUCAUCUCGAAUCUCCGAUAGAGGGAACGUGUGCAGUUGUCAACACUACGAGUUCCAGAAUUAACAAACGAAAGAGUUCGGUGACCAGAGAGGAAGAAGCAUUCAAGAUCAUGAAAAGUGUGUGUGCAAACAUGAAAAUAAACGAUGUGCAUGCUUCCUUUGCAGACUUUGUUGCUCACAAGAUACGGAACCUACCAUCCACUCAAUUACAAAACAUUGCUCACAACCGUAUCACUAACAUUCUCUUUGAGAUCGAGUCCCAGGAUGUUGUUCAAUCAGUCGUCUCUCCAUUCCAACCACUAAAUUACCUGCCAAGCACAAGUUCCACGGGUUCUUCAUCGUCAGAGCAAUAUAUCGAGCUGCGUUUGCCUAAUCAUGAUGAAGCCGUUUAUGGUUUCGGCAACAGCAGUGGUAGCAAUGUGGUUGUGCCUGAGUAAUGUGUUCAUAAAUGUAUUGAAUGCAUCCCGGUAUUCUUAUAUUUUGUAUCCCUACUUUCGUUUCAUAUAAAGUGUAUUGUAUUUAA